CGCGUAGGCGGUCUUUUAAGUUCCGUGUGAAAUCCCUCGGCUCAACUGGGGGAACGGCACGGGAAACUGGGAGGCUUGAGUUCGGGAGAGGGAAGCGGAAUUCCGGGUGUAGCGGUGAAAUGCGUAGAUAUCCGGAGGAACACCGGUGGCGAAGGCGGCUUCCUGGACCGACACUGACGCUGAGGCGCGAAAGCUAGGGGAGCAAACG
rnacentral:rRNA from 1 species